rnacentral:rRNA from 1 species
AUUGAACGCUGGCGGCAGGCCUAACACAUGCAAGUCGAGCGGCAGCGGAAAGUAGCUUGCUACUUUGCCGGCGAGCGGCGGACGGGUGAGUAAUGUCUGGGAAACUGCCUGAUGGAGGGGGAUAACUACUGGAAACGGUAGCUAAUACCGCAUAACGUCGCAAGACCAAAGAGGGGGACCUUCGGGCCUCUUGCCAUCAGAUGUGCCCAGAUGGAAUUAGCUAGUAGGUGGGGUAAUGGCUCACCUAGGCGACGAUCCCUAGCUGGUCUGAGAGGAUGACCAGCCACACUGGAACUGAGACACGGUCCAGACUCCUACGGGAGGCAGCAGUGGGGAAUAUUGCACAAUGGGCGCAAGCCUGAUGCAGCCAUGCCGCGUGUAUGAAGAAGGCCUUCGGGUUGUAAAGUACUUUCAGCGGGGAGGAAGGUGCUGAGGUUAAUAACCUCAGCAAUUGACGUUACCCGCAGAAGAAGCACCGGCUAACUCCGUGCCAGCCGCCGCGGUAACAC